AUUGAACGCUGGCGGCAGGCCUAACACAUGCAAGUCGAACGAGAGUCGGACGGGUGAGUAAUGUCUGUGAAACUGCCCGAUGGAGGGGGAUAACUAUUGGAAACGGUAUCUAAUACCGCAUACCCUCUGAUGUGCCCAGAUGGGAUUAGCUAGUGGGUGGGGUAACGGCUCACCUAGGCGACGAUCCCUAGCUGGUCUGAGAGGAUGACCAGCCACACUGGAACUGAGACACGGUCCAGACUCCUACGGGAGGCAGCAGUGGGGAAUAUUGCACAAUGGGCGCAAGCCUGAUGCAGCCAUGCCGCGUGUAUGAAGAAGGCCUUCGGGUUGUAAAGUACUUUCAGCGGGGAGGCGUUACUCGCAGAAGAAGCACCGGCUAACUCCGUGCCAGCAGCCGCGGUAAUAC
rnacentral:rRNA from 1 species